AGAGUUUGAUCCUGGCUCAGAUUGAACGCUGGCGGCAGGCCUAACACAUGCAAGUCGAACGGUAACAGGAAGAAGCUUGCUUCUUUGUUGACGAGUGGCGGACGGGUGAGUAAUGUCUGGGAAACUGCCUGAUGGAGGGGGAUAACUACUGGAAACGGUAGCUAAUACCGCAUAACGUCGCAAGACCAAAGAGGGGGACCUUCGGGCCUCUUGCCAUCGGAUGUGCCCAGAUGGGAUUAGCUAGUAGGUGGGGUAAAGGCUCACCUAGGCGACGAUCCCUAGCUGGUCUGAGAGGAUGACCAGCCACACUGGAACUGAGACACGGUCCAGACUCCUACGGGAGGCAGCAGUGGGGAAUAUUGCACAAUGGGCGCAAGCCUGAUGCAGCCAUGCCGCGUGUAUGAAGAAGGCCUUCGGGUUGUAAAGUACUUUCAGCGGGGAGGAAGGGAGUAAAGUUAAUACCUUUGCUCAUUGACGUUACCCGCAGAAGAAGCACCGG
rnacentral:rRNA from 1 species